rnacentral:rRNA from 1 species
UACGUAGGGCGCAAGCGUUGUCCGGAAUUAUUGGGCGUAAAGAGCUCGUAGGUGGUGUGUCGCGUCUACCGUGAAAGCCCGGGGCUUAACUCCGGGUCUGCGGUGGAUACGGGCAGACUAGAGGCAGGUAGGGGAGAACGGAAUUCCCGGUGUAGCGGUGAAAUGCGCAGAGAUCGGGAGGAACACCCGUAGCGAAGGCGGCACUCUGGGCCGGUACUGACGCUGAGGAGCGAAAGCGUGGGGAGCGAACAGG